GAUGAACGCUGGCGGCGUGCUUAACACAUGCAAGUCGAGCGAAAAUAAUUAGGAGCUUGCUUUUAAUUAUUUUAGCGGCGGACGGGUGAGUAACGUGUGGGCAACCUGCCUUUUACUGGGGAAUAAUCACUGGAAACGGUGACUAAUACCGCAUAAUAUUCUUAGGAGGCAUCUUCUGAGAAGGAAAGGAAAUAUUCGGUAAAAGAUGGGCCCGCAUCUGAUUAGCUAGUUGGUGAGAUAACAGCCCACCAAGGCGACGAUCAGUAGCCGACCUGAGAGGGUGACCGGCCACAUUGGGACUGAGACACGGCCCAA
rnacentral:rRNA from 1 species